UACGAGGGGGGCGAGCGUUGUUCGGAAUUAUUGGGCGUAAAGGGUGCGUAGGCGGUUCCGCAAGUCCUGUGUGAAAUCUUCGGGCUCAACUCGAAGUCUGCACGGGAAACUGCGGGGCUUGAGUGUGGGAGAGGUGAGUGGAAUUCCUGGUGUAGCGGUGAAAUGCGCAGAUAUCAGGAGGAACACCGAUGGCGAAGGCAGCUCGCUGGGACGGUACUGACGCUGAGGCGCGAAAGCGUGGGGAGCAAACAGG
rnacentral:rRNA from 1 species